rnacentral:rRNA from 1 species
GACGAACGCUGGCGGCGUGCCUAAUACAUGCAAGUCGAGCGGGACUCUUCGGAGUCCAGCGGCGGACGGGUGAGUAACACGUGGGCAACCUGCCUGUAAGACUGGGAUAACACCGGGAAACCGGUGCUAAUACCGGAUAAUCCUUUCCCUCACAUGAGGGGAAGCUGAAAGACGGUUUCGGCUGUCACUUACAGAUGGGCCCGCGGCGCAUUAGCUAGUUGGUGAGGUAACGGCUCACCAAGGCGACGAUGCGUAGCCGACCUGAGAGGGUGAUCGGCCACACUGGGACUGGGACACGGCCCAGACUCCUACGGGAGGCAGCAGUAGGGAAUCUUCCGCAAUGGACGAAAGUCUGACGGAGCAACGCCGCGUGAGCGAUGAAGGCCUUCGGGUCGUAAAGCUCUGUUGUCAGGGAAGAACAAGUAUCGGAGUAACUGCCGGUACCUUGACGGUACCUGGCCAGAAAGCCACGGCUAACUACGUGCCAGCAGCCGCUGUAAAAC